AGACCCCGCCCCGGCCUGUCCCCGGCGAUUCCUGCGGACCCAGCUGCGGCGACGCCAGGAGACCCCAAGCUGCAUCGCCGAGUGGAAGCAACUAGAACUCCAGGGCUGUGAAAGCCACAGGUGGGGGCUGAGCGAGGCGUGGCCUCAGGAGCGGAGGACCCCCCCCACUCCCCCACGAGCGCCGCAGUCCACCGUAGCGGGUGGAGCCCGCCUUGGUGCGCAGUUGGAAAACCUCGGAGCCCCGCUGGAUCUCCUGGCUGCCACCCGCACCCCCCACCAGCCUAGGCCCCACCGUAGAGAUGCCUUCUUCGGUGACGGCGCUGGGUCAGGCCAGGUCCUCCGGCCCCGGGAUGGCCCCGAGCGCCUGCUGCUGCUCCCCUGCAGCCGUGCAGAGGAGGCUGCCCAUCCUGGCGUGGCUGCCCAGCUACUCCCUGCAGUGGCUGAAGAUGGAUUUCGUCGCCGGCCUCUCAGUUGGCCUCACUGCCAUUCCCCAGGCGCUGGCCUAUGCUGAAGUGGCUGGACUCCCGCCCCAGUAUGGCCUCUACUCUGCCUUCAUGGGCUGCUUCGUGUAUUUCUUCCUGGGCACCUCCCGGGAUGUGACUCUGGGCCCCACCGCCAUUAUGUCCCUCCUGGUCUCCUUCUACACCUUCCAUGAGCCCGCCUACGCUGUGCUGCUGGCCUUCCUGUCCGGCUGCAUCCAGCUGGCCAUGGGGCUCCUGCGUUUGGGGUUCCUGCUGGACUUCAUUUCCUACCCCGUCAUUAAAGGCUUCACCUCUGCUGCUGCCGUCACCAUCGGCUUUGGACAGAUCAAGAACCUGCUGGGACUACAGAACAUCCCCAGGCCGUUCUUCCUGCAGGUGUACCACACCUUCCUCAGGAUUGCAGAGACCAGCGUAGGUGACGCCGUCCUGGGGCUGGUCUGCAUGCUGCUGCUGCUGGUGCUGAAGCUGAUGCGGGACCACGUGCCUCCCGUCCACCCCGAGAUGCCCCCUGGUGUGCGGCUCAGCCGUGGGCUGGUCUGGGCUGCCACGACAGCUCGCAACGCCCUGGUGGUGUCCUUCGCGGCCCUGGUUGCGUACUCCUUCGAGGUGACUGGAUACCAGCCUUUCAUCCUAACAGGGGAGACAGCUGAGGGGCUCCCUCCAGUCCAGAUCCCGCCCUUCUCAGUGACCACAGCCAACGGGACGAUCUCCUUCACCGAGAUGGUGCAGGACAUGGGAGCCGGGCUGGCCGUGGUGCCCCUGAUGGGCCUCCUGGAGAGCAUUGCGGUGGCCAAAGCCUUCGCAUCUCAGAAUAAUUACCGCAUCGAUGCCAACCAGGAGCUGCUGGCCAUCGGUCUCACCAACAUGUUGGGCUCCCUCGUCUCCUCCUACCCGGUCACAGGCAGCUUCGGACGGACAGCCGUGAACGCUCAGUCGGGGGUGUGCACCCCGGCGGGGGGCCUGGUGACGGGAGUGCUGGUGCUGCUGUCUCUGGACUACCUGACCUCACUGUUCUACUACAUCCCCAAGUCUGCCCUGGCUGCCGUCAUCAUCAUGGCCGUGGCCCCGCUGUUCGACACCAAGAUCUUCAGGACGCUCUGGCGUGUUAAGAGGCUGGACCUGCUGCCCCUGUGCGUGACCUUCCUGCUGUGCUUCUGGGAGGUGCAGUACGGCAUCCUGGCCGGGGCCCUGGUGUCUCUGCUCAUGCUCCUGCACUCUGCAGCCAGGCCUGAGACCAAGGUGUCAGAGGGGCCGGUUCUGGUCCUGCAGCCGGCCAGCGGCCUGUCCUUCCCUGCCGCGGAGGCUCUGCGGGAGGAGAUCCUAAGCCAAGCCCUGGAAGUGUCCCCGCCACGCUGCCUGGUCCUGGAGUGCACCCAUGUCUGCAGCAUCGACUACACUGUGGUGCUGGGACUCGGCGAGCUCCUCCAGGACUUCCAGAAGCAGGGCGUCGCCCUGGCCUUUGUGGGCCUGCAGCAUUCCCCUGGGGCUGCGUUUCUUCUCACCAUUCACUGGUAUGGAGGUGAAGCCAUACCUCUCCGGGAGACUCUGAGAUGGCAUGUCUGCCAGGCUGCCGACCCGUGUGCUACAGAGGAACAUCCCUGCCCUGGCUAAAGUCUGUCUGUCCCUCAGGUCCCCGUUCUCCGUGUCCUGCUGUCCGCUGACCUGAAGGGGUUCCAGUACUUCUCUACCCUGGAAGAAGCAGAGAAGCACCUGAGGCAGGAGCCAGGGACCCAGCCCUACAACAUCAGAGAAGACUCCAUUCUGGACCAAAAGGUUGCCCUGCUCAAGGCAUAAUGGGGCCACCCGUGGGCAUCCACAGUUUGCAGGGUGUUCCGGAAGGUUCUUGUCACUGUGAUUGGAUGCUGGAUGCCGCCUGAUAGACAUGCUGGCCUGGCUGAGAAACCCCUGAGUAGGUAACCCGGGGAAGAGAAGGAAGCCAGGCCUGGAGGUCCACGGCGGUGGGAGUGGGGCUCACUGGCUUCCUGUGAGAUGACUGGAAAAUGACCUCGCUGCUGUUCCCUGGCAUGACCCUCUUUGGAAGAGUGGUUUGGAGAGAGCCUUCUAGAAUGACAGACUGUGCGAGGAAGCAGGGGCAGGGGUUUCCGGCCCGGGCUGUGCGAGGCAUCCUGGGGCUGGCAGCACCUUCCCGGCUCACCAGUGCCACCUGCGGGGGAGGGACGGGGCAGGCAGGAGGCUGGGAGGCGGGUCCACUCCUCUUGUCUGCGGCAUCUGUGCUCUCCGAGAGAAAACCAAGGUGUGCCAAAUGACGUCGUCUCUAUUUAAAAAUAAUUUUGUGUUUUCUAAAUGGAAAAAGUGAUAGCUUUGGUGAUUUUGUAAAAGUCAUAAAUGCUUAUUGUAAAAAAUACAGGAAACCAGCCCUCACCCUGUCCACUUGGGUGAUCAUUCCAGACCCCUCCCCAAACAUGCAUAUAUACCUGUCCGUCAGUGUGUGGAUGUAUGUUUACAGUUCUACAUAAAUGGGAUCAUUUUAUACAUGGUGCUCUGGAACCCACAUUUUUCAUGCAGUCAUUUGCAGUGAAUUAUUUAUUGUGAUAAUAAAUAGCAUUAGAAUACAA